GAUGAACGCUGGCGGCGUGCCUAAUACAUGCAAGUCGAACGCAUAGCGAAAGGGGUUUGUUCUUUGCAAGUGGGUGGCGAACGGGUGAGUAACACGUGGAAAACUUGCUUCAAGGCUGGGGAUAACACGUGGAAACAGAUGUUAUUACGGAAUAAAAUUUAGAGCUGCUUGACAAAAAGUUAAAAGGCGCCUUGCCGUCACUUAGAGAUGGAUCCGCGCUGCAUUAGUUAGUUGGUGAGGUAAAGGCUUACCAAGACAAUGAUGCAUAGCCGAGUUGAGAGAGUGAUCGGCCACAUUGGAACUGAGACACGGCCCAGACUCCUACGGGAGGCUGCAGUAGGGAAUCUUCCACAAUGGGCGAAAGCCUGAUGGAGCAACGCCGCGUGAGUGAUGAAGGCUUUCGGAUCGUAAAACACUGUUGUAUGGGAAGAACAGCUGGAUUAGUAAAUGUGUUUAGUUUGACGGUACCAUAUCAGAAAGGGACGGCUAAAUACGUG
rnacentral:rRNA from 1 species